rnacentral:misc_RNA from 1 species
GUAGGUGAACCUGCGGAAGGAUCAUUAUUGAAAUUAAACCUGAUAAGUUGUUGCUGGUUCUCUAGGGAGCAUGUGCACACUUGUCAUUUUUGUAUUUCCACCUGUGCACUUUUUGUAGACCUGAGUAUCUCUCUGUAUGGUUAGCCAUUCAGGAAUGAGGAUUGACUUUCAGUCUCUUCCUUACAUUUUCAGGUCUAUGUUUCUUCAUAUACCCUAUGUAUGUUUAUAGAGUGUUGUUAAUGGGCCUUUGUGCCUAUAAACCUAUACAACUUUCAGCAACGGAUCUCUUGGCUCUC